UGCCAGAGCCAUAUCACCCUGCAGCUCUUUCCUGGUUUCCCACUGAAGCUAAACAAGGUUGAGCCUGGCCAAUACCUGGAUGGGAGACCUUCUGGGGAAAAUUAAGGUUGCUAUUGGAA
rnacentral:rRNA from 1 species